rnacentral:lncRNA from 1 species
UGCAAAGAUCGUCUUUGUAAUAUCUGGGUUCCAAUUGUCAUUUUUUAAAACCCAGAGUUCUAUAAAGAGAAUUUCUACGUUCUUUAAAAAAUUCGAAAUAACCCUAGGAAGUGCAUCAUAUUAUGCUAUUAUUAGCUACUCACCACUAUAAGAAAGAGCGCUGGAUUUGUGAUAAAGAGACCUGAGUUUAAAUCUUGGUUCGACCACUAAAAUAUACUUCACCAGUUUCAUAAAAUAACUUUACGCUCUCUUCGCUGUACCUGAUAUUGAAUACCCAUCAUGCACUCUUUACCGCCAAUACUUUGAAAUAGGACGGGGAAACUGGAUGUAAAAGAGGGGAGGGAAGAAAAUUUUCUUCUUUAUGUCGUAAGGUAAAGGGGCUCUGAAUCCUGGAGCCUUUGUUUCUUCAGGCACUAGAAAUACACUGCCUGUGAAAUGGGUGUGCAUCUCGAGAUAAAGAUAGGAUUCUAUUCAUCAAUGUUCAACUCAUAUCCAUUCCUACCCCCCUCUAACUCCUAGCAGUGUUUUGCACACAGUGGGUACACUCCACGUGUCUCCCAACGCCUGCAAAGUUGCAACUGGAAGCCAACGCCUUGCAAGGUUGCAACUGGGUUGCAACUGGGCCAAAUCCUGCACUAGUUCGCCCCCUCUUGGCCCACUGGAGCGAGGCCUAAAUGGACUACAUUUCCCGGCAGGCCGUGAGAUAGACUUCCGGCUCUACCGGAAGGAACUUGGCCGACACGUGAGACCAUCAGUUGGAAAGAGCUGCAGACGAAAUUGGAACAUCUCGUCUCGGCGUUGUCAUGUUUCUCCAGUAUUAUCUCAACGAGCAGGGAGACCGGGUCUAUACGCUGAAGGACCUUGACCCUGACCACCCCACCACCCAUGGGUUGACUUACUGGGCUUCCUCUUAUUCUCUUUUCUUUCUUUCUUUCUUUUUUUAAAGAUGUUAUCUGUUCAUUUUUCAGAGAGAGAAAGAAUGCACAAACAAGCAGGAGGAGUGGGAGACGGAGGAGGAGAAGCAGGCUUCCUUCUGAGCAGGGAGCCUGAUAUGGGACUUGAUCCCAGAACCCCAGGACCAUGACCUGAGUCAAAGGCAGAGGCUUUAACUACUGAGCCACCCAGGCACCCCUCAUUCUCUUUUCUUUAAACAAAUUUUUUUUCGUUUACUUUUUCGUAUAUUUCUCAAUCUUGGCAGCUGUGUUGCUUGGGUAGGGACACGGGGGUGGUUAUCUCACAUCUAUGAAAAUUGGUGCCGGGGCGCCUGGGUGGCUCAGUGGGUUAAGCUGCUACCUUCGGCUCAGGUCAUGAUCGCAGGGUCCUGGGAUCGAGUCCCGCAUCGGGCUCUCUGCUCAGCAGGGAGCCUGCUUCCUUCUCUCUCUCUCUCUCUGCCUGCCUCUCUGCCUGCUUGUGA